rnacentral:rRNA from 1 species
UCCGUAGGUGGAUAAUUAAGUCAGAGGUGAAAUCCUGCAGCUCAACUGUAGAAUUGCCUUUGAUACUGGUUAUCUUGAGUGAUUAUGAAGUGGUUAGAAUGUGUAGUGUAGCGGUGAAAUGCAUAGAUAUUACACAGAAUACCGAUUGCGAAGGCAGAUCACUAAUAAUGUACUGACACUGAGGGACGAAAGCGUGGGGAGCGAACAGGAUUAGAUACCCUGGUAGUCC